rnacentral:rRNA from 1 species
AUGGGGAGGGUGAAGCUCAAGAUCAAGAAGCUGGAGAACACCAGCGGGCGGCAGGUGACAUAUUCUAAGCGGCGGUCAGGGAUUCUCAAGAAGGCCAAAGAGUUAUCCAUUCUUUGUGAUAUCGAUCUCAUUCUUCUCAUGUUUUCCCCUAGUGGAAGGCCUACCAUAUGCGUCGGCGACAAAAGCCCCAUAGACGAAGUCAUUGCAAAGUAUGCACAACAAACUCCUCAGGAAAGGGCUAAAAGGAAGCUGGAGAGUUUAGAAGCACUAAAGAAGACAUUCAAGAAGCUAGACCAUGAUGUCAACAUUCAGGACUUCUUAGGCUCCGGGGGUCAGACGGUCGAGGAAUUAUCUAGUCAUCUUGGCGCAUUGCAAUGUCAAAUGGCAGAUGUUCAAAAGCGUCUCAGUUAUUGGAGCGAUCCCGAGAAGGUUGAGAAUAUAGACCAUAUAAGAGCGAUGGAGCAAUCUCUCAAAGAAUCUCUUAAUCGCAUCGGCAUUCAUAAGGAGAACUUUGCAAAGCAGCAUCUGAUGGGCCUACAGUGCGCUGCUGCUCAGUUCCAGAACGAGAUGCAGCUACCUCUGGGGCUAACCGGUGACCCGAACCCUUCGUUGUGGUUCCACAGCGGCGGCGGCAGCGAUGGACAGCCGGCCAUGAUGUUACCUGAAGACCCCAGCUUGCUCCAUCAGAGGGACAUCGGGUGCUCGACGAGCACGUCGCUGCAGAGCUACCCGGGCUACUUCAGCAUGAGCAAGCAGUCGACGGACACCGCCGGGGGCGAGCAGCAGCACCAGCAGGCAGCGGCGGUACAUCAGCACCAGCACCAGCAGCCGGAGUUCAGCCAGGGCGACUGCCUGACGUCACUGCAUCUCGGCGCGCAGUUCCCGUACCAGUCCGCCUUCGACCACGCCAGCCUCCUCAACGACAGGCUCUUCAGGCCGGACAUGGAGCUGCACGUCGACAACGCGGCGGCCUCGGCCAUGGACUUCGUCGGCGGCCACUAUGAGAUGCCGAGGCCCGGCGACGAGGCCAGCUUCCAGAACUGGGCAUCGGCGGCAUGCGGCGCCACCAUGUACGAUCACCAGCAGCAGCAGCCAUCUGCCCAACUUAUUGUUAAGAACAUGACUGAAUCCCUGACCGUCAGCUCCCUGCAGCAGCAACUCUGA